AAAAAGUAACGCAGCCAGGAUUGCCCCCAGCCGUCGAGACACAUCCAGAAUUCUAGACCCAGUCGUCGACACAUCGAGCCAGCCGCUCGCUUCCUCGCGACCACCCGAUUUCGCCAUCUCGCUCGCUCGUCGCUCGCCGUCCCCGCCUAGGUAGCCGAUCGUUGGGCGCCUAGGACCGCAGCCUGUCUGUCCCGUCCGCUUGGUGUUUGGGGCUCUGCGGCGGCUGCGCCACCUCAUCUAUGGAGUUGUGCCCCUGCAAGCCGACGCCGCUGCCCAAUCCGCACAUCGGCACUCGGUCAAGAGGCAGUUGCCAGCCAGCAAGCAUCCGUGUUGAUUUGAGAAGCCACGAAAUUGAGGUACGCAGAAGAUGAACAAACCUCAGAACUGAUGAUCCAAAGAUGAGUCGGAGUUCAAGCAUCACAUAGCCGUCAGCUGUGGUUGCUUGUAGGCAGAUGUGUCUCAGACCUAAGUUGUUGCAGCUGGACUGUGGUUAUAUGCAUCCUCGCUUGGAGGCAGCGGUGCUGGGAGAUAUCCAUGGGCAAGGCGAAGAAGUGGACGAAGGACCAAAGAAGCAAUCUGUGCCUCCCUGUUGCUGCGUCCUGCUCCUCAAUAUGUCACCUUAUUUAUGGCCGCCUUAUCCCUCAUGCUGCUGAUUUAAACCUGCCCUACUCUUCUUCUCAUAGGUUGAUCAAGGGUUGCGCUUCAGCGACAGCCUCGCCGACAACGGGGAAGCAAGGAUCAGAAGUGACAGCUAUAGCGCUAGGAAAUUAGAAACCCUAGCAAUUGAUCUUCUUUAUAAAACGUGUUUGGCAAGGGACGUGGAACCUGCCUCAGGGAAGAAGAGAUUGAUCACGUGAGAGAAGAGACCAGCUUCCAUCCUUUAUCGGACAACCAAUUGUUUUUUGUUUGCCAAUUGCCUAGUUCAUAUUGUGCAUGUGUUCGAUGCCUGCAGACAUGUGGCUCUUGGAGUUUGUAGGUAGACCUACUAUAUUGCUCUCGGAUACGUGUGAGAGCUUUAUUAUUUCCCCUUUUUUCUUUCCAAUUCGGUCAUGCAUCAGUUCUUGCGUGAUUGUAUUGGACUCAAACAAAACACAUCCAUGUAGUCCUUCCCAUGUGCGCAAGUGUUAUGGUUCAAUGCAUCUAACGUGACAACAUAUAAGU
rnacentral:rRNA from 1 species